UUUCUCCGUGACUUCAGCCGGGUGUCGGACACGGAAACUGCACACAUCGCGAGGUUCGAUGGCCGGUGGUUUGAGCAACAUGUUCUCCGCGUUACACUUCGCAGAGCAGAGCUGAUUGCCGAGCCAGAAGUAAGUUUUGGCAAGGUGCUGAGAAGGACCAUCAGAUGGCGACAAGAAGCGGGGAAUCGUCUGCAACGACAUCCAUCAGCGCUGCUCAGCGUGUGCUCUGGGAAUGGCCGUUCUGGGAAGACGCAUCAGAUGCAUGCAGAGACAAGUCAAGUCGGACGCACCUGUUUCGCCACAAAGCUUGACCAGGGAAGUGUUA